rnacentral:sRNA from 12 species
AGGGUGCCGAUUCAGCUCCUUUAAGUCUGAGUCACUAAAAAUGUAAAAAGGUAAAAAUUAUUAUG